ensembl:misc_RNA 7SK 7SK RNA
AGAAGGCUGGUAGGUUGUGAAACAUCUGUCACUCCACUGAUCCCCAGGGCUGGUUCUGCUGAUCUGGCUGGCUUGGCACAUGUCCCCUUCCUCUCCUAGUGCUCCAUGUGCAUCCCUCUUGAAGCAGUGAGCUGGGUUGAAGAAUCCGACCUUCCUGAACAGAGGAGGAUUGGUCUUGGACAAGGGUAUCUAAGUAGCUGCGCUCCCUUACUAGAAUUUCCAUAUAAGCUCUCAGGGUCUAUUUGUAGGAGAAAGUAGGAUAGUCAAGUUUCCAAAACUCCAGACACAUCCAAAUGAAGCACUGCAGAUGGCAGUCUGUUUUUCUAA